AAUGGGCGCAAGCCUGAUCCAGCCAUGCCGCGUGAGUGAUGAAGGCCCUAGGGUCGUAAAGCUCUUUCGCCUGUGAAGAUAAUGACGGUAGCAGGUAAAGAAACCCCGGCUAACUCCGUGCCAGCAGCCGCGGUAAUACGGAGGGGGUUAGCGUUGUUCGGAAUUACUGGGCGUAAAGCGCGCGUAGGCGGAUUAGUAAGUUAGGGGUGAAAUCCCGAGGCUCAACCUCGGAACUGCCUCUAAAACUGCUAGUCUUGAGUUCGAGAGAGGUAAGUGGAAUUCCGAGUGUAGAGGUGAAAUUCGUAGAUAUUCGGAGGAACACCAGUGGCGAAGGCGGCUUACUGGCUCGAUACUGACGCUGAGGUGCGAAAGUGUGGGGAGCAAACAGGAUU
rnacentral:rRNA from 1 species